GACGAACGCUGGCGGCGUGCUUAACACAUGCCAGUCGAACGGUGAAGCUCCAGCUUGCUGGAGUGGAUCAGUGGCGUACGGGUGAGUAACACGUGAGCAACCUGCCCCUGACUCUGGAAUAAGCGCUGGAAACGGCGUCUAAUACUGGAUACGAGAAGGGUCCGCAUGGGCACUUUCUGGAAAGUUUUUCGGUUGGGGAUGGGCUCGCGGCCUAUCAGCUUGUUGGUGAGGUAAUGGCUCACCAAGGCGACGACGGGUAGCCGGCCUGAGAGGGCGACCGGCCACACUGGGACUGAGACACGGCCCAGACUCCUACGGGAGGCAGCAGUGGGGAAUAUUGCACAAUGGGCGAAAGCCUGAUGCAGCGACGCCGCGUGAGGGAUGACGGCCUUCGGGUUGUAAACCUCUUUCAGCAGGGAAGAAGCGAAAGUGACGGUACCUGCAGAAGAAGCACCGGCUAACUACGUG
rnacentral:rRNA from 1 species